UUCUCUCUUUCUCUCGCUGCAUUGAUUCCUGGACCGCUUCGACCUGCAUCUUCAACAAAGUGGCUGCUGCAGAUCCAUUCCUCACAUCCAUUGGCUUCCUCUCCCAUUCUAGUCAUCAUUUCUCAUCCUGCCUUAAUAAAGCAAGUCUUCGACGCAUGUUCAUGGGAGUACCACGGCACAUAAAGUGACAAGAGAACAAUUGGAUCUGAGGUAUAUUUGGCUAGACAACAUCCAGAAAAGCACAAGGAAAAUGUAAAAGAGAAGAAACAUGAAUGAGCAGACCACUGUAUUUGUCAAGUUACAGAGCAAGACGUAAGAAGGAAAUGAAUCAUCCAGCUUUCCAUGUCUAUGAGCUUAAAGUCCACAUUUUGAUUGAACAAAAAUGUGUAUAAUGCAAAGAGCGAAUAUGUAGAACAAAGUGUUUUAUUAUAACUAUUUGUCUUUUAAAUGUCUCUUUCAAAGUUAAUGCUUUGACUGCCGCAUUAACUCUAAGCACUUAUGAAAGGAAUUAGACUUGAAUGCCAAUUCACACCCACUGAGCUUUAUCAAGCCAAAACACAAAUUAUGUCUCUUUGGUUUUAUCAACCUAUUUAAAAAGUGAGCUUUACAAAGAUAUUGAAAAGUCCAUUAUCAUCUCUGCGUCGGUCUUUGUUUUGUGAUGAUCAGAGCCUCAAUCCACAGAAUCACAGCAAGAUUACUAAUAAAAAAUAUGUCAGCCAUGUAAUGAAAAAAAUAUUGUGGAUGGGGAUAAUUUCAGUAUUACAAAUGAAGGUCAAAUCAAUAUUUUAUCUUUGACAGCUCUAGACGUACUCUAGGUGUCAUGGGGUUUCACCUACUCAGACCUGCAGUCAUGUUCAGCUUUAUUUAUUUCUGUCUGGCAAAUCAAGUUUAUCAAUACGAAGUAAGAAAUGUCUUUCCAUCUUGAGUUGGAACGCAGAAAAUCCAGACAAACUCAGUAUUUUUUCUUAUUUUUAAUUCAUCAGCAAGUUUUUACUUCUCUUUGAAAACCAUUAACUAUUUAAAUGCAAGAGUAAAGAC